rnacentral:rRNA from 1 species
AUUGAACGCUGGCGGCAGGCCUAACACAUGCAAGUCGAACGGUAACAGGAAGAAGCUUGCUUCUUUGCUGACGAGUGGCGGACGGGUGAGUAAUGUCUGGGAAACUGCCUGAUGGAGGGGGAUAACUACUGGAAACGGUAGCUAAUACCGCAUAACGUCGCAAGACCAAAGAGGGGGACCUUCGGGCCUCUUGCCAUGGGAUUUGCCCAGAUGGGAUUAGCUUGUUGGUGGGGUAACGGCUCACCAAGGCGACGAUCCCUAGCUGGUCUGAGAGGAUGACCAGCCACACUGGAACUGAGACACGGUCCAGACUCCUACGGGAGGCAGCAGUGGGGAAUAUUGCACAAUGGGCGCAAGCCUGAUGCAGCCAUGCCGCGUGUAUGAAGAAGGCCUUCGGGUUGUAAAGUACUUUCAGCGGGGAGGAAGGGAGUAAAGUUAAUACCUUUGCUCAUUGACGUUACCCGCAGAAGAAGCACCGGCUAACUCCGUG